CCUGGUUGAUAGGCCGGAAGUGUAAGCAUGGCGACAUGUUCAGCUAACCGGUACUAAUAGACCGUUCGGCUUGUUUUA
rnacentral:rRNA from 1 species